CUAUGUUGGACUUAGAAUA
rnacentral:snRNA from 1 species